AUGGGCCAAUCUUACAAGAGACCACAGAAAACUGAUAUAGUGAACUAUAGAAACAGAGUGCCUGCUGCAGUAUGGCGAGGACACCCUGAGCAGAGAGCUCCAAUAGACCCAGGUCCAGUGUCUUGGCAGGGUGAAAUGGCACUGAUAUGGUGUCCUGCAGGAUGCUGUGUCCUGCAAUCCUGUGUGCUGUGCUACAGACGCGUCUGGAAGCCAACCUGAAAUAAGCACAGUCUCUCCACAGAGGAGUGAAAGAGGCUCCCAGAAGUGAGACUGAGUGCCUGUUGCAGUAUGACGAGGACACAGUGACCAGAGACCUUCAGUAGACCCUUCUGGCAUGAUUGGCGGCUGAAGAACAUGAAAUCAACAGCAAUGUUUAUAAUGUUGUACAUACCUGUAUAGUCUGUAUUAAAAGGCAGUACCUGUA